GGCUCAGGAUGAACGCUGGCGGUAUGCUUAACACAUGCAAGUCGAACGGAAUGCUUAGGCAUUUAGUGGCGGACGGGUGAGUAACGCGUGAGAAUUUGGCUUCAGGUCGGGGACAACAGUUGGAAACGACUGCUAAUACCGGAUAUGCCGAAAGGUGAAAGGCUUGCUGCCUGAAGAUAAGCUCGCGUCUGAUUAGCUAGUUGGUAGUGUAAGGGACUACCAAGGCGACGAUCAGUAGCUGGUCUGAGAGGAUGAUCAGCCACACUGGGACUGAGACGCGGCCCAGACUCCUACGGGAGGCAGCAGUGGGGAAUUUUCCGCAAUGGGCGAAAGCCUGACGGAGCAAUACCGCGUGAGGGAGGAAGGCUCUUGGGUCGUAAACCUCUUUUCUCAAGGAAGAAAAAAAUGACGGUACUUGAGGAAUAAGCAUCGGCUAACUCCGUGCCAGCAGCCGCGGUAAUACGGAGGAUGCAAGCGUUAUCCGGAAUGAUUGGGCGUAAAGGGUCCGCAGGUGGUACUGUAAGUCUGCUGUUAAAGAGUCUGGCUCAACCAGAUAAAAGCAGUGGAAACUACAGAACUAGAGUGCGUUCGGGGCAGAAGGAAUUCCUGGUGUAGCGGUGAAAUGCGUAGAUAUCAGGAAGAACACCGGUGGCGAAAGCGUUCUGCUAGGCCGCAACUGACACUGAGGGACGAAAGCUAGGGGAGCGAAUGGGAUUAGAUACCCCAGUAGUCCUAGCCGUAAACGAUGGAUACUAGGCGUGGCUUGUAUCGACCCGAGCCGUGCCGGAGCUAACGCGUUAAGUAUCCCGCCUGGGGAGUACGCACGCAAGUGUGAAACUC
rnacentral:rRNA from 1 species